rnacentral:lncRNA from 10 species
UUUUCUGAUAGAGUCUCACUCCGUCACUCAGGCUGGAGUGCAGUGGCAUGAUCAUGGCUCACUUCAGCCUUGACCUCCCAGACAAGCAAUCUUCUUGCCUCAGCCUCCCAUGUAGCUGGCACUACAGGUGCAUGCCAUACCUGCAUAAUUUUAUGUCUGUUUUGGGACGGGGUCACACUAUGUUGCCCAGGCCAGUCCUGAACUCCUGGGCUCAAGUGAUCCUCCCACCUAAACUUUAUUCUUCACAUACAAUAUUUCAUUUGAUCCUCUAGACAAACCUGUUAAGUAUUUACUUCUAUUCUACAUAUAGGGAAACUGAAACACAGAAAAGCAAUGCUACUUAAGGUCACAGAGUUGUUUUUUUUUUUUUAAAGCCCAACAAAUCAGAAAUUGAAUCCAGAAUUUUUAAGUGAAAACACUAUGAUUUUUUCCAAUUCAUCAAAUAUGCUAAGCUCCUUGAGAUUACUAUAUUUCCAUCUUUAUGCAACCACUGCCUAGUAUAGAAUGUGACAGAAAGUAAGCAAAGAUAUGCUGACUGGAUAAGAAGUCAACCACUAGUAAAGAAUUAAUGUUUACAAAACAGUACAUAAUUUAAUGCCUUCUAAAAUAAAGCACCAAAAAUAAUUUAGUAUUACAGAAUGAUCCAGAGAACACCAUCACAGUUAAAAGUUUAGUUUCUGAUAUCAGACUUGGGUUCAAUCCCAAAGCAGUGUAAGGUCUCUGGGUCUCAGUUUUCUUGUCUAUAAUAUGGGAAUAAUAAAUGGUAAUUAUCUCAAAUGACUGGUAUAUUGAAUGGGAAUGUACAGAAGACACCUAGUACAGUGUCCGGUAAAUAGAAAGCACUCAAUAAAUUAUUCAUAUGAGUAUCAAUAUAAAACUCAAAGAUAGAGCUUGUUUACAAAAUAGAAAUAAUCUUGGGAACUAUGAAAGACAGCAGAGUUAAAUUUGUCCAAAUAUAGUUUUAAAGGUUUUAUUCUUGCUGUUUAAACUUUAAUUGCUUGGCUCUCCAUCAGGUAUACACCAGCUAUUAACUCUGCUCUUCUCACACUGCUUAUCUCUAGUAGCUCCAAUCUGCCUUUUAAUACAAGCAAUGUGGAUGUGCAGUUGGAAAAAGACAGAUUGAUGUCUAACAUGUCCGUUAGGAAUUGUAUAACCUUUGAGGGAACUUUCUGGAGUAAUGGAAAUGAUCUAUAUCUUGAUUUGGCUGUUGUUUCAAUGGUGAAUACCUCCUUCGAAACUCACUGAAAUGUAUCUGUAAAGUCUGUGUAUAAAACUUUGUAAAUUAAAGAAACUUAGGUUUUAUACUCUUGAACAAGUUACUUUCCUUUUCUGGCCCUUAAUUUUCUCAUUUUCAGAAAGAGAAUAAUUCUUCACUCAUAAAAGUCAUAUUACAGGAGUAUUACAGGAGAUAAGGUCUAUACUUAGGGUAGUUCCUGCACAGUUAUUGCAAAUUCUGGAUCUACUAAUAUUAACCCUAAGCAUUUUUCAAAUUUACCUUAGUUUUAAAACAAAUUCAUCUAUAAUAAAAACUAUGUUCUCUCCUUCUCCCUUCUCUCAUUCUUCCCCAACCUUUUCUGUUUCAGAACAAUUUGGCUAAACAUUUUAUUAAAGCUUCCGCCACUUCCAAAGUUUUCUUUCUUUUUUUUUUAACAAAAUCAUAAUAGAGUCAUUUGCCUUCAUUAUUUCUCUUCCUUCUUCAUUUACCAAGUCAGAAUUUCUUUUUCCUUUUCUUUUUUUUUUUUUUUUUUUGAGACAGUUUCGCUCUUGUUGCCCAGGCUGGAGUGCAAUGGCACAAUCUUGGCUCACUGCCACCUCCGCCUCCUAGGUUCAAGUGAUUGUCCUGCCUCAGCCCUGCAAGUUGCUGGGAUUACAGGUGUGCGCCACCACACCCAGCUAAUUUUUGUAUUUUUAGUAUUUUGUAUUUUUGCACCAUGUUGGCCAGGCUGGUCUCAAAUUCCUGACCUCAGGUGAUCCGCCCGCCUCGGCCUCCCAAACUGCUGGGAUUACAGGCAUGAGCCACCGUGCCCUGGCCUAGGUCAGAUUUUUUUUUUUUUUUUGAGACGGAGUCUCGCUCUGUCACCCAGGCUGGAGUGCAGUGGCGCGAUCUUGGCUCACUGCAAGCUCACCUCCUGGGUUCACGCCAUUCUCCUGCCUCAGCCUCUCAGGUACCUGGGACUACAGGCACCCGCCACCACGCCUGGCUAAUCUUUUGUAUUUGUAGUACAGACGGGGUUUCACCAUGUUAGCCAGGAUGGUCUCGAUCUCCUGACCUUGCGAUCCUCCUGCCUCAGUCUCCCAAACUGCUGGGAUUACAGGCGUGAGUCACCGCACCCGGCAAGAAAUAUUUUACUUAAAAUUACUGAAGAUUUCUUUACCCAUCUUGCCCCAAAAUUAAUCUGCUACGAUUCAAUCCUCAAAAGCCUAAUGCUCCAAUGAAAGGAAACAACAAAGUAAGCAGCAGUCAGAGAUCAGAGGUGUAAUAAUUGUCGGAAGUUCUAAAAGAUAUGCAUCGAUUCCACAAUACUCCUGCCAACCUCUAAAAAUCAAGAAUAUUCUCUCUAACAUCCCAACCACCCUCUAUAAUCCAUCAAGAACCUGUCAUCCACCUAUUUAUGUAAAAAAUUAUGUAAUUUAUUUCCCGUAUUAUGCCUGUAAACACAAACAUGUCUCAUAGUUAUGGUACUUAAUUCCAUACUUUGAAAAUAUAAUUGUGUUAAAGUAACAGUUCUUUUACUAGUUUUCAAAUCAGUUUUUUAAAUGUCUAAGCAAUGCUCUUUGUUCUAGAAUUCCAGGACACUGGCACAACUUCACAUUUGUCUAGCAUUUACGGAACAAACAUUUAUAAAGUACCUAAAUAGGUCAGGCACUGGUGAAACAAAGAUUAUGAAGAUAAGGUCAAGGAGGUAAAUACUCAAUUAAAGCAGAUAAACCAGAACUGCUCAAAUAAUAUUCUUUUCUUACACCUGUGAAGGAUCUAGAAAAAAGGAAUAUGGAGCAAUUAAGAGUUCUUUCAACUCCCUGAUGUUGUUUCCAGACCACUUUUCCAGCCUUCUUCCAAAACUGUUUGGCAACUGUGUGAGUCAAAUGCUAUACCCUCUUCCCCUCUUUUCCCUGGCUAUCAUGGGCUCACCUCUUCUACUGGUAGUUAGGUUCCCUUAUUAAGGACUUCAUCAGUACUUGUCUCCCUCCACAGUUUUCUUCACUAUUUCUAUCAUCACCUUGGAUGAGUGCACCCUGUGGACUUUCAACCUACCAGCAUCAAAUUCCUUGACAUUCCUGAAUGAUCUCACCCACAUAACAUUAUAGCAAUCUUUUCCAAACAAACUUAUUAGCUAGAAUAGCUUGACCAACUCUGAAAAUAAACCUCAGUGUAUCUUUUACAACAGACCUUAUUCCUGUUCUGUCAUCAAUUUAAUCCCUCAAUAUCUCUUAUUACCAAUACUUCCUUAGCCUCUUCCCAUUUUUUAAGUCAUUAUUCCCAUUAUGCCUUCACUUCCUUCCUCGUCAAACCUCAAACCCACAAUACAUCACAACUUCAAAGACGCUCUAGCAAGCAUGGUUAACAUUUCACUCCUUUGUUCUUUUACCGCAACCAUCCUGUAAACCCUCCACUCCAUAUCAAUCUAACCACCCACUAUCUGCUUCUUUGAGCUGAUGAACAAUGCUGUAAAAAAAUCUUAAAAAGCAGAAUAGCAGCUUCAUAAGUUAUGCUUUCACUAAACAUGUACUUCUGUUUUUUUUGUUUUUUAGCUAAUUGCCAUCAAACAGGUUUAUUCCAAAAUAAAAAUCUUACAAAUAAUGAAUGACAUCUUAGCUCUUCUGAUGAUGAGCUAAUAAUUCCAAUAGUCCUGUGACUAGCAAUAAUCAGUAAAUACUUUUGAAUAUGUAGAGCACAAGUAUUUACCAAAUGGCUGCUCUACCUUAAAACAGUACUUUGCAGCAGUAAGAAAUGAAGCCAGUUAUAAAAAUAAUAGCUGUAAAAAGUUAGGCAUAUAAAAUGUAGAAAGGGAAAACUAUGAGCUUAUCUGGAGUUAAGAGUCGAUGUGCAUAUCUUAAAAGAAGAAAUCAACAAAUAUUAUCCCCAAAAGGUACAGGAAUGACACUUCUCUACAUAUGAUUCUAACAUAAUCUACAAUGAUUAAGGAAUGAGAAAAGAAUUACAAUCUUAACACUGAAAAGGAUUCAAGGGAAAAAUAUUUUUUGCACUCUUGGAUUUUCACUACAAAAUGACAAAAAAUACAGCUUAGCAACACUUCUGUGAAAUUUAAAAGAAAAACUCCACAAAUAACAAGAAAUUAGACAUAAAAACACACAGCAUGCUGUGAGGAAAUGGUAAAAUUUAUUCUGCCAACUUUUUUCAAGUUCUGAAAAUUGAGAAAGAUCUGCUCAUAUAGUGUUCCCCUUCUUUCAACUGUAGCAAAACCCCACAGAAUAAUGAAUGAACACAACCUGCAAUCUGGGUAGAUGGUCAAGUAAGAACAAGCGCAUUCCAGCAUUGUGUAAUUAGAGCUUUGGGCCAAUGUUGCAAACUCACUCAGUCAAAUAAAAAAGCCUACAAAACUUUUCACCAGCUUGCAAAAUCUUAAAACUCAUCCAUGUUUAUCAAGUUAGAAGUGCACUAUUUGUCAGAAAGUCAAUAAACUACACUGCGGAGCUAUAAUUUUCAUGACCGUCUCAUUUUCCUUAAAUUAUACUUAAAUUUGUUGUAUAUUCUGCAUCUUACCAACUGGCAAGGUGACCAGAAUCAUCUGAUAGGUUUUAUGAAAAUAUACAGGUGUCUGUUCCACGUUCCCCUGGUGUUCACAAAGGAGGGGACCAAGGGUAGGAGUAGGGAAAGGAAUCAUGUUUAUUUUGAGAAAAUAGCCUACCCACAACUUAAUACCAUGUUACACCCACCAGAAUGGCUAAAUAUAUGAGACAGAAUAUCAAGCCAAUGUUCCAGAGUAUGUGGGACAACUAGAAAUUCUCAUCUACUACUGAUGAGGUUAUACAUUGGUACAACAACUUUGGAAAUCACUGGGUUAUACUAAAACUGAACAAGGCACACAUAUGACCCAGUGAUUAUAUUACAAGGUACAUUACCCAGGGAAAUGCACACAUGGGACCAAAAGACAUGCACAGACAGGAAUACAAGGAUAUUUUACAGGGACUCUAUUCAUGACGGCCCCAAACUGGAAACAACCUAGAUGUCCAUUAACAGUAAAACAGAUAAAUCAUGAUAUACAGAGUCAUACAGUGGAAUAUUAUGAAGCAGUGAGAAUAAACUAUUGCUACAGGCAACAUGCUUGAAUCUGUGAAAGGAAAAAACCCUUGGGACCCCAGAAUCACUAAGCUAAAGGGAAAAGUCAAGCUGGAAACUGCUCAGGGCAAACCUGCUUCCCAUUGUAUUCAAAGUCACCCCUCUGCUCACUGAGCUAAAUGCAUUAUCUGAUUGCCUCCUUCUGAGAGGCAAAUCAGAAACUCAAACGGAAGCCCUCUCUCCCAGCUUCGAGUUGUCCUGCCUUUCUGGGCCAAACCAAUAUUAAUUUUACAUAUGUUGAUUGAUGUCUCAUGUCUCCCUAAAAUGUAUAAAACCAAACCAUGCUCUGACCGCCUUGGGUACAUGUUUUUAGGACCUCCUGAGGCUGUUACCCCAGCGCAGGUCCUCAACCUUGGCAAAAUAAACUUCCUAAAUUAACUGAGACCUGUUUCAGAUAUUCGGGGUUUAUGGAUCACAUAACCAUAUAUGUAUGUUUAAGGUAAGAAGCCAGGAUAAAACACCAUACAUGCUGUAUGAUGAUAUGUGCAUGUCUUUGCAUGUUACACUUCAAAAGUUUACUUAAAAUAAAAAAGCAAAAAAAGUUUAACAAAUAAAUGAGCCCCCUUGAUGCCCUGAAGUGUAUAAUAAAAUCCUGCUCCCAGUACCAUAUUCCCUCUACCCUAAAAUUGGGACAGGAUACUUUUUUGAAUCUUCCCUCAUGCUAAUUAAUUUUUUUACAUUAAAAAUUUGUUUAUAUCAAAACAAAGAAAGGUAUGUUAACAGAAUGCAAAAGCCAAUUUUUUUUUUUUUUUUUUUUGAGGUAAGGUCUAGCUCUAUUUCCUAGGCUGGAGCGCAGUGACAAGACCAUAGCUCACUGCCUCCUCAAACUCCUGAGCUCAAGUGAUCUUCCUGCCUCAGCUUCCUGAGUAGCUGGGACUACAGGCGUGCACCACAACACCAACAUGUGGCUAAUUUUUUAAUUUUAUUUUUAUUUUUAUCAUUUUUUUAAGAUGGAAUCUCACUCUGUCGCCUACACUGGAGUGCAGUGGUGCAAUCUUGGCUCACUGCAACCUCCGCCUCCCAGGUUCAAGCGCUCCUGCCUCAGCCUCCCGAGUAGCUGGGAUUACAGGUGUGUGCCACCACACCCGGCUGACUUUUGUAUUUUUAGUAGAGACGGGGUUUCACCAUGUUGCCAGGCUAGUCUCAAAUUCCUUACGUCAGGUGAUCCACCGGCCUCGGCCUCCCAAAGUGCUGGGAUUACCGGCGUGGGCCACUAUGCCCGGCCUAAUUUUUAAAUUUUUUAUAGAGACAAUGUCUUGCUAUGUUGUCCAGGCUAGUCUAGAACUCCUGGCCUCAGGCAAUCCUCCUGCCUUGGCCUCCCAAAGAGUUGGGAUUACAGGCGUGAGCCAUCAUGGCCUCAAAACAUUUGUAAGAGAAAACACUAAAUUGAAAAGAAUUUUAACAUCAAAGCUCUCCCCCUUCACCACCAUCAUUACCACACUCAGACUGUCACCUCCCUUUGAUUCCCCAAGAAUUUCCUCUUCUCUGCCAUCUAUUUAAUAGAAACAUUCAAGAAGCACUGACCUACCUUAGCAGUGUAGUUACGAGGAUUAAAACAAAAGAUGUAUAUAUAAAGUCCUUGGCACCAUGCCUAAGUACUCAAUGACUAGACACUUAAUAAAUCCCAAAUAGUGAGUUCUUCCAGGUCAAGGGCUAUUUCCAAUUCAUCACUGUAAAUACAGGACCUGGUAUUUAACAGUCAGUCAAUAACUACUUGUGAAGUAAAUGAAUAAUGUGAGUCCAAAAUAAACAAACAAACAAACAAAAAACAAUGAAAACAAAGCAAAAGUGGGAAUGAAGGAAAAAGCAAGAAGUUCAAAGGAAGGUCUUAACCCAUUUUUGUUAUCAGGGUAUACGAAAAUAUUAUAUUUUAUUUUUAUAGAACUGUGGUUCAGCAAGAUGACAAGAUUUUAAAUCUCAAGGUGAACCAACAAAAUCAUGUGCAUAUAAAACUAUUACAAAAACUGUCUCGGUAUUAUCUUUCCUCUAUACACUGUGCAAUGAAAAAGCAGUAUAUUUUAACUGAAAUUAAAACACGCGUCAAUAAUACUGAAACCCUUUAAAAAAAUUUCUGAAUCAGUUUCUUAUGAGGUUGACAGGAAUCCCAACUACAUCACAGGUUAUUUUCAAGAUAUCCAUCAUAGCACAUCAAUAUUCUGACUAAAUAUGUCAUAACAGAGAUGAAAGGAAAGCAGAUUUCAGCUAAAACUUU